AUUGAACGCUGGCGGCAGGCCUAACACAUGCAAGUCGAGCGGCAGCGGAAAGUAGCUUGCUACUUUGCCGGCGAGCGGCGGACGGGUGAGUAAUGUCUGGGAAACUGCCUGAUGGAGGGGGAUAACUACUGGAAACGGUAGCUAAUACCGCAUAACGUCGCAAGACCAAAGAGGGGGACCUUCGGGCCUCUUGCCAUCAGAUGUGCCCAGAUGGGAUUAGCUAGUAGGUGGGGUAACGGCUCACCUAGGCGACGAUCCCUAGCUGGUCUGAGAGGAUGACCAGCCACACUGGAACUGAGACACGGUCCAGACUCCUACGGGAGGCAGCAGUGGGGAAUAUUGCACAAUGGGCGCAAGCCUGAUGCAGCCAUGCCGCGUGUAUGAAGAAGGCCUUCGGGUUGUAAAGUACUUUCAGCGGGGAGGAAGGUGUUGUGGUUAAUAACCACAGCAAUUGACGUUACCCGCAGAAGAAGCACCGGCUAACUCCGUGCCAGCAGCCGCCGCAGUAA
rnacentral:rRNA from 1 species